AGCGUAUUUAACCUAGACUCAAAGCCGGCUAGAAAGAAAGUUCUUUGUUUUCACAUUUCGUUGGAUUUCUCGUGAUUCCGUCGUCCUGUGGUACGCAAUAGCAAUUUAUUUUUCCACGCUAUAAGCGCCGUUGAGGCGAAAGAUUACACGUUAUAAUUAGGAAAUAGACAUGUCUAACACAGCUACUGGCACAGUUAAGUGGUUCAACGAAACUAAAGGCUUCGGUUUCAUUCAACAAGAAAACGGCCCUGACGUAUUUGCUCACUUCUCUGCAAUCACUGGUGACGGCUUCCGUACUCUAGUUGAAGGCCAGAAAGUAGAAUUCGUUAUCUCUCAAGGUCAAAAAGGCCCUCAAGCAGAGCAAAUCAAAGUACUUUAAUUUCUAAAGAAUUUGAUACGAUAGCCAGCUUUUAAGCUGGCUAUUUUUU
rnacentral:sRNA from 1 species